rnacentral:rRNA from 1 species
GACGGAAGGUGCAAGCGUUAUCCGGAAUCACUGGGCGUAAAGCGUGCGUAGGUGGCGCGUUAAGUGAGAUGUUAAAUCGUGUGGCUCAACCAUAUCGAUGCAUCUCAUACUGGCGUGCUAGAGGACAGCAGAGGCAAGUGGAAUUGGUAGUGUAGCAGUGAAAUGCGUAGAUAUUACCAGGAACACCAAUGGCGAAGGCAGCUUGCUGGGCUACUCCUGACACUGAGGUACGAAAGCGUGGGGAGCGAACAGG